CGGGAAUGUUCAUGGGAAUGCUGGCUGCUCCGUCUGGACCACUUUAUUUAGUGUGUACUUUGUUUUUGCGGUUGCUGGCAGCCGCCAGUCGGCCAACCACAACAACACCAAUCGAGGAACAGUUGAGGUCGCGGCAACAACAACAA